rnacentral:rRNA from 1 species
GUGGGGAAUUGUUCGCAAUGGGCGCAAGCCUGACGACGCAACGCCGCGUGGAGGAUGAAGGUCUUCGGAUUGUAAACUCCUGUUGCUCGAGACGAAUAGCUUCGGCCUAAUACGUCGAAGUCUGACGGUAUCGGGUGAGGAAGCCCCGGCUAACUCUGUGCCAGCAGCCGCGGUAAUACAGAGGGGGCGAGCGUUGUUCGGAAUUACUGGGCGUAAAGGGCGCGUAGGCGGCCUUUUAAGUCGGACGUGAAAUCCCCGGGCUCAACCCGGGAACUGCGUCCGAAACUGGAAGGCUUGAAUCCGGGAGAGGGAUGUGGAAUUCCAGGUGUAGCGGUGAAAUGCGUAGAUAUCUGGAGGAACACCGGUGGCGAAGGCGGCAUCCUGGACCGGCAUUGACGCUGAAGCGCGAAAGCCAGGGGAGCAAACGGGAUUAGAUACCCCUGUAGUCC